rnacentral:lncRNA from 1 species
GUACACCUACAGUUCAUUGGAUGGUAGUUUUGGAACUGGGAGAGACCUGGGAGAUAGAUCAUCUACUCAUAUUCUGCCUUUUUAUGUGUGAGCUACCUAAGGACCAGGAAGGUUAAGUGGCAGAGCUGGGAUUCCAAAUGAAGUCCUCUGGAUCCAAAUCCAGUGUUCUUGCCCCUGGACCACACCGUCUCCCAUACCCAGGUCCAGCUUUUGAAUAUCUCAGAUCUUCCAAUGAUGUUGCAUGGCUGUAGUUCAUGGAAUUCUACAAUCUCUGAAAACCUGAUUUGUAUCACCCAAGUGGAAAUGGAGAAGGAUAUGAUGAUUGAAGCAUAUUUAGAAGAUCAAUUGAAGUUGAAAACAAUAGUUGGGAAAUCAAGUGCCUCCAUCUUUGUCUUCUUCUCUCCUUCUAAGUUAUUAAAUGGCAUUUG